AGAGUUUGAUCCUGGCUCAGGAUGAACGCUAGCGGCAGGCUUUAAUACAUGCAAGUCGAGGGGCAGCAGGACUGUAGCAAUACAGUUGCUGGCGACCGGCAAACGGGUGCGGAACACGUACGCAAUCUACCCAAAACUGGUGAAUAGCCUUCCGAAAGGAAGAUUAAUACACCGUAACCUAAUUGUAGUGGCAUCACUAUAUUAGUAUAGCUCCGGCGGUUUUGGAUGAGCGUGCGGCUGAUUAGAUAGUUGGUGUGGGUAACGGCCCACCAAGUCUGCGAUCAGUAACUGGUGUGAGAGCACGACCAGUCACACGGGCACUGAGACACGGGCCCGACUCCUACGGGAGGCAGCAGUAAGGAAUAUUGGUCAAUGGACGCAAGUCUGAACCAGCCAUGCCGCGUGAAGGAUGAAGGUCCUCUGGAUUGUAAACUUCUUUUAUAGGGGACGAAACCUCUUUUUCUAAAGAGACUGACGGUACCCUAGGAAUAAGCACCGGCUAACUCCGUGCCAGCAGCCGCGGUAAUACGGAGGGUGCAAGCGUUAUCCGGAUUCACUGGGUUUAAAGGGUGCGUAGGAGGGCAGGUAAGUCAGUGGUGAAAUCUCUGGGCUCAACCCGGAAACUGCCGUUGAUACUAUCUGUCUUGAAUACUGUGGAGGUGAGCGGAAUAUGUCAUGUAGCGGUGAAAUGCUUAGAUAUGACAUAGAACACCAAUUGCGAAGGCAGCUCACUACACAUAUAUUGACUCUGAGGCACGAAAGCGUGGGGAUCAAACAGGAUUAGAUACCCUGGUAGUCCACGCCCUAAACUAUGGAUACUCGACAUACGCGAUAAACUGUGUGUGUCUGAGCGAAAGCAUUAAGUAUCCCACCUGGGAAGUACGACCGCAAGGUUGAAACUCAAAUGAAUUGACGG
rnacentral:rRNA from 1 species